rnacentral:tRNA from 1 species
GCCGGAGUGGCGGAACUGGCAGACGCACAGGACUUAAAAUCCUGGGGGUCCUAAAAGACUCGUACCGGUUCGAUUCCGGUCUCCGGCA